UUUCGCCCUCAAAUCAGGUAGGACUACCCG
rnacentral:rRNA from 1 species